rnacentral:rRNA from 1 species
UACGGAGGAUGCGAGCGUUAUCCGGAUUUAUUGGGUUUAAAGGGUGCGUAGGCGGCGAGUUAAGUCAGCGGUAAAAGCCCGGGGCUCAACCCCGUACUGCCGUUGAAACUGCAUCCCUUGAGUGCGCGAGAAGUAUGCGGAAUGCGUGGUGUAGCGGUGAAAUGCGUAGAUAUUAGGAGGAACACCAGUGGCGAAGGCGGCUUACUGGACUGUAACUGACGUUGAGGCUCGAAGGCGUGGGGAGCAAACAGG